GACGAACGCUGGCGGCGUGCUUAACACAUGCCAGUCGAACGGAAAGGCCUGCUUUUCCUUGUGGAUUGCUGGUGCUCGAGUGGCUAACGGGUGAGUAACACGUGAGUGUUCUACCCCCAGAUUAGUUAUAAGCCUGGGAAACUGGGUCGAAUUCCCUAUAGGACUGCAGGGUGGUGCCGGUGGUGGAGAAUGAGUUGCUAGUUGUUGGGGAUGAGCUCGCGGCCUAUCAGGUUGGUGGUGGGGUAAUUGCCUACAAAGGCGGCGACGGGUAGCCGGCCUGGGAUGGUCGACGGCCAAAUUGGGACUGAGACACGGCCCAGACUGCUACGGGAGGCAGCAGUGGGGACGAGUGCGCCGUGGGCGGGAGCCUGAUGCAGCGACGCAGCGUGGGAGAUGUCGGCCUUCGGGUUGUCAACUACUUGCGACCGCGAGGAAGCCACCUGGUUGGAAGGGUGGUGACGGUAGUGGUACAAGAAGCACCGGCUAACUACGUG
rnacentral:rRNA from 1 species